rnacentral:rRNA from 1 species
AACGAACGCUGGCGGCAGGCUUAACACAUGCAAGUCGAGCGCCCCGCAAGGGGAGCGGCAGACGGGUGAGUAACGCGUGGGAAUCUACCCAUCUCUACGGAAUAACGCAUGGAAACGUGUGCUAAUACCGUAUACGUCCUUCGGGAGAAAGAUUUAUCGGAGAUGGGUGAGCCCGCGUGGGAUUAGCUAGUUGGUGGGGUAAAGGCCGACCAAGGCGACGAUCCAUAGCUGGUCUGAGAGGAUGAUCAGCCACACGGGGACUGAGACACGGCCCAGACUCCUACGGGAGGCAGCAGUGGGGAAUAUUGGACAAUGGGCGCAAGCCUGAUCCAGCCAUGCCGCGUGAGUGAUGAAGGCCCUAGGGUUGUAAAGCUCUUUCACCGGUGAAGAUAAUGACGGUAACCGGAGAAGAAGCCCCGGCUAACUUCGUGCCAGCCGCCGCCGUAAUAC